rnacentral:rRNA from 1 species
UACGAAGGGGGCUAGCGUUGCUCGGAAUCACUGGGCGUAAAGCGCUCGCAGGCGGUUUCUUAAGUCUGAUGUGAAAGCCCACGGCUCAACCGUGGAGGGUCAUUGGAAACUGGGAGACUUGAGUGCAGAAGAGGAGAGUGGAAUUCCACGUGUAGCGGUGAAAUGCGUAGAGAUGUGGAGGAACACCAGUGGCGAAGGCGACUCUCUGGUCUGUAACUGACGCUGAGGAGCGAAAGCGUGGGGAGCAAACAGG